rnacentral:misc_RNA from 1 species
GAUGAAGAACGUAGCGAAAUGCGAUACGUAAUGUGAAUUGCAAAUUCAGUGAAUCAUCGAGUCUUUGAACGCACAUUGCGCCCCCUGGUAUUCCGGGGGGCAUGCCUGUCCGAGCGUCAUUGCUGCCCUCAAGCACGGCUUGUGUGUUGGGCCCCGUCCUCCGAUCCCGGGGGACGGGCCCGAAAGGCAGCGGCGGCACCGCGUCCGGUCCUCGAGCGUAUGGGGCUUUGUCACCCGCUCUGUANNNNNGGCCGGCGCUUGCCGAUCAACCCAAAUUUUUAUCCAGGUUGACCUCGGAUCAGGUAGGGAUACCCGCUGAACUUAAGCAUAUCAAUAAGCGGAGGA